rnacentral:lncRNA from 1 species
CAGGCCUGAGUGCUGUGGGAGUCUCAGUUCCACAGGGAGGAAGUGGUUUGCCCCCAGGUCAGGCUGGAUUUGAGCAGCCCUCAGGCUCUGGAGGAGCUGUGCUACCUCUGAGUGGUCCCUGCAGCCCCAGCUCACCCGCAUCUGUGAAGUCCUGUUUCUGGGGUGGUUUCUUAGGCCACACGAGGACAGCGCCUCUGGGGCCCCGUCACCUCAUCUGGGGUCUGUGUCCUGAUCCUAGUCCACCAGCCCAGCCCAUCCGUCCCUAGCAGGCUAUGACCUUGGGGGAGACGCCUGAUUUGGCUUCACGACUGCAAAUGGAGACAAGACAACUUUGUUCCUGAAGACCGGUCUGACCGUUACACUGGCGAUCAAGGGAGACCUCUCCCUUGUCCUGCCUGCUUGUCUUUCUCCUCACACCCUGUCCCCGGGGCAGGGAGCAGUCAGGUGGUGACUGGAUUCCAGUGCAGCUACUCCAGGCAGUGCUUCACUAGGGAAGCAGGCCCCCACUUCCCUGAGAGCCAGGGUCCCCUCAGCAGGAUCCUGAGGCAGACGCUCAAACCGGGCAGGAGGAGGUCACUCCUCAUUGCUCCCCCUGCCCAGGAUGCCCAGGCCUUUUCACACCAGGACUGUUGGGAGCAUCCUCCUCCCGGGGCACUGAGCAGGGAGUGAGGGCAGCUGCUGACCCCCAGGACCGCUCAGUCUGACCUCAGUCAAGAUUCCCCCUGCUGACUCCAGGGAACUUGGCGUUGUUUCCCAGGAACUUCUGCUGACUGCGAUCUGAGCUCACAAGUUCCGUCACGAACAAGCUCAGGCUCGGCUGGUGUGGACACACGCACAGAUAUGCUGCUCUGAGGGGCCCUGUGUGGGGCUGCCAGGCCCCUGAGGGAAGUGGCAGGGACACGCAGUGUGCAGGCUGGAGGGUGACGGCUUCUGAGGAACUUCUCUCGGGGUCUAGAGUCUCUUUUUGGGAAUGGGGAGAGGUCCCCCCACGGGGCAGGUUCCUCUGGAUGAAUUUGCCCUAGAUUGUAACACCCACCGUGUCCAUCUCACCCAACGCCCCAGUGGAAUCCGUGGUGUGAGGUCACAGCACCUCUGGAGGCCAGUCUCCCUGGCUGUGUGCUCCUGAGCCAGCCAAGGCCUUCAGGCACUGCCCUUGUCUGAAAAUGGACAGGGGAGGAUGAGAUGGAGGGCUUC